rnacentral:rRNA from 1 species
AGUGAACGCUGGCGGUAGGCCUAACACAUGCAAGUCGAACGGCAGCACGGUAAGAGCUUGCUCUUACGGGUGGCGAGUGGCGGACGGGUGAGGAAUACAUCGGAAUCUACUUUUUCGUGGGGGAUAACGUAGGGAAACUUACGCUAAUACCGCAUACGACCUACGGGUGAAAGCAGGGGAUCUUCGGACCUUGCGCGAUUGAAUGAGCCGAUGUCGGAUUAGCUAGUUGGCGGGGUAAAGGCCCACCAAGGCGGCGAUCCGUAGCUGGUCUGAGAGGAUGAUCAGCCACACUGGAACUGAGACACGGUCCAGACUCCUACGGGAGGCAGCAGUGGGGAAUAUUGGACAAUGGGCGCAAGCCUGAUCCAGCCAUACCGCGUGGGUGAAGAAGGCCUUCGGGUUGUAAAGCCCUUUUGUUGGGAAAGAAAAGCAGCAGGUUAAUACCCCGCUGUUCUGACGGUACCCAAAGAAUAAGCACCGGCUAACUUCGUG